UUCCAUGACAACUGCUACCGAAUUGAAUAAGAGAAAUAUUUAUGUUCAGCCGAGUAAUCCGAUGCAGCGAGCGGAUGCAACAACACACGUCGAUGAUGUCGAGGAGGAAUUGUGUGGCCUUUUUUUAAGGGUUCCCUGACGUAAGUAGUUUGGGUUUCAUCUUCUUUUCUUAUUGUCCGUUUGUAUGGUAGCUAACUGAUCAUGCUAAACGGUGACCAAAGGGGUCCGCAUGAAGACAGCUUACUUGUACAUGAUCCCUUUUUCUGACAGAGGCUGAGCAGUGAGCACUUCAGUCUGAUUGCCUUUUUUUUUGCAAAAGAUUUCAGCCUGGUUGCCAUGGAGCUGUAUAUACCCAUUUGUUUCUAAAUAUAAAUCUUUUUAGAGAUUUUUCAUUAAGGAACUACAUACGGAGCAAAAAGAGUGAAUCUACACUUUAUAAUAUGUUUAUAUACAUCCGUAUGUAUUUUUUUAGUGAAAAC
rnacentral:lncRNA from 1 species